rnacentral:rRNA from 1 species
CCCUUAGAUGUUCUGGGCCGCACGCGCGCUACACUGAUGCAUUCAACGAGUUUCUUCCUGGUCCGAGAGGAAUGGGUAACCUUUUGAAAGUGCAUCGUGAUAGGGAUAGACCAUUGCAAUUAUUGGUCUUCAACGAGGAAUUCCUAGUAGACGUAGUUCAUCAGACUGCAUCGAUUACGUCCCUGCCCUUUGUACACACCGCCCGUCGCUCCUACCGAUUGAAUGCUCAGGUGAGCCAUUCGGACUUUCAUCAUGCUGGUUUCCAGUUUUGAUGAAGGAAAGUCUUGCGAACCUUACCAUUUAGAGGAAGGAGAAGUCGUAACA